UCCCUGCUUCUCUGCAGACAUUGCUGCCC
rnacentral:piRNA from 1 species